CAUAGGAGAGAAUACUCUGAAAGCAAGGAAAAAAACCCUGGGUGUCUGUGACACUUUCAUUGUUAUCACUUUCUCAGGAUUUCAUUUGGAAAACAGACAUAAUCACAGUUGCCCUGGAAGACAGCGGUGUUCAUUAUGUGGAAGAGAUUUGAUUAGUGGUGGAAAAUUUUGUCUUUUAAUUUUUCCAGCAGAGGAUUGGUAUUGGCUUUAUCCUGGGAGAUAAAGGGACCUACAUUUGCUUAUAUUUGCUGAAUAGAUUCUUGUGUCUAUGUGAGGGGCAGCCUGCCUUGAGGCAUUAUCUGUGUCAGCCCAGGUUGUGGGCUUAGGGAUGGAGGCUACCAGUUGAAACAAAUGAGCUUUGCUCAGGGGGAUAAUAGCCUUAUUUUGUGGCAGUCUGUCCCUUCCUAUUUGUUCUGAGAAAAUGACCAACUGAUAGGCCCUUCAUCAUGUACAAACAUUGUUUGUUUGGAUUGGGGUUAUCUUUUUUCUUUUUUUGGCAACGGGAAAAAACAAUAUGGCAAUGACCUGAAGGUGGAGAACGACCUCUCCUCUUCAUUCAGCCCCUAAGCUGUCAGGUCUCACUGCCUGCAUCACUGGGCUAGAGCAUUUCAGCAUCUUCUUUCUAAAGCAAAUCAAGUCAUGCUUAGAAGAUUUGAUACAUGGCUCUUCUCAAGGCCUUUUCUUCACUUGUUUAUAUCUUGAACUUGUAAAUUGCCGUCACAUUUUCAAACCUUGUAAUCACCUCACCAAUUGCUGUUUUCAUGAAUAAGAAUACAAGAUCAAUAGACUUCUCAAUAUUUUCCUUUGCCAUGGGGUAAUCGAAGGUCAGUCCGUGAAGCUGACAUUUCAGUUAUCUGGUCUACCUCCUGUUAACUGGAUUACCUACUUGCCUCUUGUGAUUGGUCCCAGUGGUUUUAUUUCUGCCUCUACGGUUGUCAGGGCGUGGUUCGAGGUCAAUAGCAUCUGCAAGUCAACAUCUCAUCUUUGUUUUCCAUUAUAUCCUUUUCCCACUUUUCUUCAUGAUUAACUAAAAUCCCUUGACAUCAAUGAACUAUGUAUUUGUCAGUGUUGCCAUUAAGCAUUAGUGUCACCGCAAUGGAGAUGGACAGCUCCCUUCCUCAUCAAUCCAUGUGUUUAUGUGAGCAUUUAAAAUAGCUAUUAGAUGUAAUGCAGACAAAGCAGUAUUUCUUUUGUCAGAGCAUAGCUUUUCAAGAGAAAUUCUGCACUUCUAACUUUGGUCCUUUCUCUACUGCUAAGAGGUGGGACUUCCAUAUGGGUUAUUAUUACAUUUUAGCGACAACAACAGUAAACAAUUAAGAAUUUUAGUUUGAGAUUAAAUAUUGAAAAACGUCACUAAAAGGGUUACAAAAUAUGCAACUGGACCUGUGCACAGCCAAAGAUUCUGCAUGGUUCUGUGGUUCUUCGUGCACGGGAGAAUUACAGUUGGCACAGCCCAGCCCAUGCUGGAGGCCACAAAUAAAGCUCUUGUUUAGUAUGCUCCAGUUGCAUUUUGGUCACAUGUGCUUAUAUUAAUGCCUGUGCUUUCUGCUUCCUCUUGGGUAUUAUGUGGUUGCUUGGCUGCAGCAGGAAAUUUCGCUGCCUUGAUGGCCGCUGGAAAACUGCAAGAGAUCAAAAUAUUCAGGGAAUCGAGCCUGCCUCAUACCCCUCAUAAAGCUGGAAAGUAACUCCAAAAGUAGACAAAAGUAACCCUCAAAAGUAGACAAACAUAUGGAAAUUAAAUAAUCUGCUCCUGAAUGAUCUUUAGGUUAGCAAGGAAAU